UACGACCACAUCGCGUUGAAACACCGGUUCCCAUAUAAUCAUCGAAGUUAAGCAAUGUCGAGCCUGGUCAGUACCUAGAUGGGUAUUCGUUUGGUAAUAUUAAGUGCU